UACGGGGGGGGCAAGCGUUGUUCGGAAUUACUGGGCGUAAAGGGCUCGUAGGUGGCCAACUAAGUCAGACGUGAAAUCCCUCGGCUUAACCGGGGAACUGCGUCUGAUACUGGAUGGCUUGAGUUUGGGAGAGGGAUGCGGAAUUCCAGGUGUAGAGGUGAAAUUCGUAGAUAUCGGGAGGAACACCAGUGGCGAAGGCGGCGACCUGGGCCAAUAUUGACGCUGAGGUGCGAAAGCGUGGGGAGCAAACAGG
rnacentral:rRNA from 1 species